rnacentral:piRNA from 1 species
UGAGUAAGCCGAUGUCAUUUUCUUUGAAUA